CCUACGGGUGGCAGCAGUGAGGAAUAUUGGUCAAUGGACGCAAGUCUGAACCAGCCAUGCCGCGUGCAGGAAGACGGCUCUAUGAGUUGUAAACCUCUUUUGUACGAGGGUAAACGCAGAUACGCGUAUCUGUCUGAGAGUAUCCGACGAAUAAGGAUCGGCUAACUCCGUGCCAGCAGCCGCGGUAAUACGGAGGAUUCAAGCGUUAUCCGGAUUUAUUGGGUUUAAAGGGUGCGUAGGCGGGCGGAGAAGUUAGAGGUGAAAUCCCGAGGCGCAACUUCGGAAUUGCCUCGUACACUGUGCGGCUAGAGAGUAGGUGCGGUAGGCGGAAUGUAUGGUGUAGCGGUGAAAUGCUUAGAGAUCACACAGAACACCGAUUGCGAAGGCAGCUUACCAGGCUACAUCUGACGUUGAGGCACGAAAGCGUGGGGAGCAAACAGGAUUAGAUACCCUAGUAGUC
rnacentral:rRNA from 1 species